ACAGCGCUAAAGGAAGAAUACCAGAAGUCACUACGUGGGCCGUCCAAGAACAAGAACCGAUGAUUUGCUUUGCGCCUCUCUUUCUAUUGGGGAAUACCCGCGAAACCUAUUCUUGCACUCCUAUUUGCUUUGCGCCUCUCUUUCUAUUGGGGCAAACUCACCUAUUCUCUUCGGGAACUCCUAUCAUUUAGGAUUCUUUCCUGUGAGCCAAUUGCAUAUUAUUUAUACUCCCGGAAUUGCUUUAUCGGAGCCGAGCCAGGGAUAGCCGUUAGUCGCCGCUGUUGCUUCAUUCCAUUCUUCCAAG
rnacentral:lncRNA from 1 species